rnacentral:rRNA from 1 species
GGGGAAUUACCUCUUCUUCUACAGUUGCUCUACUGUUGGAGGAGAGUAGGAGACUAGGAGAGCUCAUCCAGUGAUCUGCUCAUGCGCCGGCCGCCAGGAGUGGUCCGUCAGGCCGCAGGCCGGCAGCACGACGGCGUGGCCGAGCCCGAGCAGAUGUCGUCUGCGAGCAGGUGCAGAGAGUCGGGGGAAGGAAGGAAGGCAAGGGGCUCGCCCGUGGCCGCGAGAUACGUGGGUUCCGACGAGAGAGGAUAGACGCCGUCGGUUGGCCGGCGGUGGCGGCUUGCUCCGGUGCUCCCUGCUCGACUGCGGGAGAGUUUGGGAAUUGGGGAUUGGGGAUUCCCAACGCUGCC